rnacentral:rRNA from 1 species
GAGUUGGGCACUCUAAAGAGACUGCCGGUGUCAAACCGGAGGAAGGUGGGGAUGACGUCAAGUCCUCAUGGCCUUUAUGACCAGGGCUACACACGUACUACAAUGGCCGGUACAAAGGGCAGCGACACGAGCGAUGUAGAAGCGAAUCCCGAAAAGCCGGUCUCAGUCCGGAUUGGAGUCUGCAACCCGACUCCAUGAAGUUGGAAUCGCUAGUAAUCGCGGAUCAGAACGCCGCGGUGAAUACGUUCCCGGGCCUU